rnacentral:rRNA from 1 species
AUAAGAGUUUGAUCCUGGCUCAGGAUGAACGCUGGCGGCGUGCCUAAUGCAUGCAAGUCGAACGAGGUCGGUCCUUCGGGGCCCAAACCUAGUGGCAGACGGCUGAGUAACGCGUGGGUGACCUGCCCCCGAGAACGGGAUAACUGCGGGAAACUGCAGCUAAUACCGUAUACAUUCCCGUGCUUCAAUGCGCGGGAAGAAAGAUUUAUCGCUCGGGGAUGGGCCCGCGUCCUAUCAGGUAGUUGGUGCGGUAACGGCGCACCAAGCCGAAAACGGGUAUCUGGUGUGAGAGCAUGACCAGACAGAGGGGGACUGAGACACGGCCCCCACUCCUCCGGGAGGCAGCAGCAAGGGAUCGUGCACAAUGGGCGAAAGCCUGAUGCCGCGACGCCGCGUGAGGGAUGACGGCUUUCGAGUUGUAAACCUCUUUUCUCAGGGAAGAGAGAGGACGUCACCUGAGGAAUAAGUCACGGCUAACUACGUGCCAGCAGCCGCGGUAAUACGUAGGUGGCAAGCGUUGUCCGGAAUUACUGGGCGUAAAGGGUCCGUAGGCGGUUUGGUAAGUCUUCUGUGAAAGCUCCAGGCUCAACUUGGAGUAGUCGGGGGAAACUGCUGAACUAGAGACUGUCAGAGGCAGGUGGAAUUCCCGGUGUAGUGGUGAAAUACGUAGAUAUCGGGAGGAACACCAGUGGCGAAAGCGGCCUGCUGGGGCAGUUCUGACGCUAAGGGACUAAAGCGUGGGGAGCGAACCGGAUUAGAUACCCGGGUAGUCCACGCCCUAAACGAUGA